GUAAAAAUCGUAACAAGGUUUCCGUAGGUGAACCUGCGGAAGGAUCAUUACCGAGUGAGGGCCCUCUGGGUCCAACCUCCCACCCGUGUUUAUUUUACCUUGUUGCUUCGGCGGGCCCGCCUUAACUGGCCGCCGGGGGGCUUACGCCCCCGGGCCCGCGCCCGCCGAAGACACCCUCGAACUCUGUCUGAAGAUUGUAGUCUGAGUGAAAAUAUAAAUUAUUUAAAACUUUCAACAACGGAUCUCUUGGUUCCGGCAUCGAUGAAGAACGCAGCGAAAUGCGAUACGUAAUGUGAAUUGCAAAUUCAGUGAAUCAUCGAGUCUUUGAACGCACAUUGCGCCCCCUGGUAUUCCGGGGGGCAUGCCUGUCCGAGCGUCAUUGCUGCCCUCAAGCACGGCUUGUGUGUUGGGCCCCGUCCUCCGAUCCCGGGGGACGGGCCCGAAAGGCAGCGGCGGCACCGCGUCCGGUCCUCGAGCGUAUGGGGCUUUGUCACCCGCUCUGUAGGCCCGGCCGGCGCUUGCCGAUCAACCCAAAUUUUUAUCCAGGUUGACCUCGGAUCAGGUAGGGAUACCCGCUGAACUUAAGCAUAUCAAUAAGCGGAGGAAAAGAAACCAACAGGGAUUGCCCCAGUAACGGCGAGUGAAGCGGCAAGAGCUCAAAUUUGAAAGCUGGCUCCUUCGGGGUCCGCAUUGUAAUUUGUAGAGGAUGCUUCGGGAGCGGUCCCCAUCUAAGUGCACUGGAACGGGACGUCAUAUAGGGUGAGAAUCCCGUAUGGGAUGGGGUGUCCGCGCCCGUGUGAAGCUCCUUCCACGAGUCGAGUUGUUUGGGAAUGCAUCUCUAAA
rnacentral:sRNA from 1 species